AGAACGAACGCUGGCGGCAUGCCUAACACAUGCAAGUCGAACGGAUGGCUUCGGCCAUUAGUGGCGCACGGGUGCGUAACGCGUGGGAAUCUGCCCUUAGGUUCGGAAUAACUCAGGGAAACUUGAGCUAAUACCGGAUAAUGUCUUCGGACCAAAGAUUUAUUGCCUAAGGAUGAGCCCGCGUAGGAUUAGCUUGUUGGUGAGGUAAAGGCUCACCAAGGCGACGAUCCUUAGCUGGUCUGAGAGGAUGAUCAGCCACACUGGGACUGAGACACGGCCCAGACUCCUACGGGAGGCAGCAGUGGGGAAUAUUGGACAAUGGGCGAAAGCCUGAUCCAGCAAUGCCGCGUGAGUGAUGAAGGCCUUAGGGUUGUAAAGCUCUUUUACCCGGGAUGAUAAUGACAGUACCGGAGAAUAAGCUCCGGCUAACUCCGUGCCAGCAGCCGC
rnacentral:rRNA from 1 species